rnacentral:rRNA from 1 species
AUUGAACGCUGGCGGCAGGCCUAACACAUGCAAGUCGAGCGGAUGAAGGGAGCUUGCUCCUGGAUUCAGCGGCGGACGGGUGAGUAAUGCCUAGGAAUCUGCCUGGUAGUGGGGGAUAACGUCCGGAAACGGGCGCUAAUACCGCAUACGUCCUGAGGGAGAAAGUGGGGGAUCUUCGGACCUCACGCUAUCAGAUGAGCCUAGGUCGGAUUAGCUAGUUGGUGGGGUAAAGGCCUACCAAGGCGACGAUCCGUAACUGGUCUGAGAGGAUGAUCAGUCAAACGGGAAAUGAGAAACGGUCCGGCCUCCUACGGGAGGCAGCAGUGGGGAAUUUUGGAAAAGGGGCGAAAACUUGACCCAGCCAUGCGGGGUGGGGGAAGAAGGUCUUCGGAUUGUAAAGCACUUUAAUGUGGGAGGAAGGGCAGUAAGUUAAAACCUUGCUGUUUUGACGUUACCAACAGAAUAAGCACCGGCUAAUUUCGU